CACUCAUGAUGAGGGCAAGCAUUAAGUAAGUCUUUAAAUCUCUCCCAGCAUUGAUAAAAGGUUUCGGUGUCCUUUUGAGCAAAAUUCAUGACUUGCCUUUUCAGUG